rnacentral:rRNA from 1 species
GAUGAACGCUGGCGGCGUGCCUAAUACAUGCAAGUCGAGCGAACGGACGAGAAGCUUGCUUCUCUGAUGUUAGCGGCGGACGGGUGAGUAACACGUGGAUAACCUACCUAUAAGACUGGGAUAACUUCGGGAAACCGGAGCUAAUACCGGAUAAUAUUUUGAACCGCAUGGUUCAAAAGUGAAAGACGGUCUUGCGGUCACUUAUAGAUGGAUCCGCGCUGCAUUAGCUAGUUGGUAAGGUAACGGCUUACCAAGGCAACGAUGCAUAGCCGACCUGAGAGGGUGAGCGGCCACACUGGGACUGAGACACGGUCCAGACUCCUACGGGUGGCAGCAGUAGGGCAUCUUCCGCAAUGGGCGAAAGCCUGACGGCGCAACGCCGCGUGAGUGAUGAAGAUCUUCGGAUCGUAAAACUCUGUUAUUAGGGAAGAACAUAUGUGUAAGUGACUGUGCACAUCUUGACGGUACCUAAUCAGAAAGCCACGGGUAACUUCGUG